UCUUUUCCUUUUGUGCCCGCCGCCGCGGUAAUACGGAGGAUGCGAGCGUUAUCCGGAUUUAUUGGGUUUAAAGGGUGCGUAGGUGGUGAUUUAAGUCAGCGGUGAAAGUUUGUGGCUCAACCAUAAAAUUGCCGUUGAAACUGGGUUACUUGAGUGUGUUUGAGGUAGGCGGAAUGCGUGGUGUAGCGGUGAAAUGCAUAGAUAUCACGCAGAACUCCGAUUGCGAAGGCAGCUUACUAAACCAUAACUGACACUGAAGCACGAAAGCGUGGGGAUCAAACAGG
rnacentral:rRNA from 1 species